UGGAAGUAAUAUGUCGUAACAAGGUCUCCGUAGGUGAACUUGCGGAGGGAUCAUCACACAAAUAUGAAGGCGGGCUGGAACCUCUCGGGGUUACAGCCUUGCUGAAUUAUUCACCCUUGUCUUUUGCGUACUUCUUGUUUCCUUGGUGGGUUCGCCCACCACUAGGACAAACAUAAACCUUUUGUAAUUGCAAUCAGCGUCAGUAACAAAUUAAUAAUUACAACUUUCAACAACGGAUCUCUUGGUUCUGGCAUCGAUGAAGAACGCAGCGAAAUGCGAUAAGUAGUGUGAAUUGCAGAAUUCAGUGAAUCAUCGAAUCUUUGAACGCACAUUGCGCCCUUUGGUAUUCCAAAGGGCAUGCCUGUUCGAGCGUCAUUUGUACCCUCAAGCUUUGCUUGGUGUUGGGCGUCUUGUCUCUAGCUUUGCUGGAGACUCGCCUUAAAGUAAUUGGCAGCCGGCCUACUGGUUUCGGAGCGCAGCACAAGUCGCACUCUCUAUCAGCAAAGGUCUAGCAUCCAUUAAGCCUUUUUUUCAACUUUGACCUCGGAUCAG
rnacentral:rRNA from 1 species